AACUUGCUUCUAAAAAAUAUCUUUGAAACUUUGUUCGACAAUAUUAAAUAUUUUCGAACAAAGUUUCAAAGAUAUUCUUUAGAAGCGAGUU
rnacentral:pre_miRNA from 1 species